rnacentral:rRNA from 1 species
AUUGAACGCUGGCGGCAGGCCUAACACAUGCAAGUCGAACGAGUGGCGGACGGGUGAGUAAUGUCUGGGAAACUGCCCGAUGGCGGGGGAUAACUACUGGAAACGGUAGCUAAUACCGCCUACCAUCGGAUGUGCCCAGAUGGGAUUAGCUAGUAGGUGGGGUAACGGCUCACCUAGGCGACGAUCCCUAGCUGGUCUGAGAGGAUGACCAGCCACACUGGAACUGAGACACGGCCCAGACUCCUACGGGAGGCAGCAGUGGGGAAUAUUGCACAAUGGGCGAAAGUCUGAGGCAGCCAUGCCGCGUGUAUGAAGAAGGCUUUCGGGUUGUAAAGUACUGUCAGCGAGGAGGCGUUACUCGAAGAAGAAGCACCGGCUAACUCCGUGCCAGCCGCCGCGGUAAUUC